GAAGACUAUUGCCCAAUCAACGUUCUAGAAUAUACUGAUGACUAUGAAUUUUUAAUCAAGAAACUGCAUGUAUGGCAGUAUGCCAACUGAAGAAAAAAUCCCUCCAAUCUCAGUUUUAUGCUUAAUUAAAAAAAUAC
rnacentral:ribozyme from 1 species